UCUUUCGCCACAAAGAACACUUCUUAUUUACUGCAUCAGGCACAGCAUUUCACAAAAUUAUGGACAAUUAGGGGAUCGCGGCCGCUCGAUUUCAAGUUGGAGAGCCCGGAUGGCUCAUGGAGAGCGUAAAAAAAAUAAUGGAGUUGAAACGCCUGCUGUUGAACUACACCGAGACUGAAAUUGCGUCUGGGUUGUUAAAAAGAGACAAUGUUUUCCUGUUGACGCGCGAGAUGGAUCAGCAAAGAUAUGGAGACCCGGCUCAAAACAGCAUCUGGGACACUUCUAGAGCUUUAUUGACUUGAUCAUUAAUUUUUGUAUUAGUGUGAGUACUCUGUAAAUCUGUGAAUUUAAUUUCUUUGCAAUAAAAGUAACCUUUAAA